rnacentral:rRNA from 1 species
UACAGAGGGGGCGAGCGUUAUUCGGAAUUAUUGGGCGUAAAGGGCGCGUAGGCGGCCAAGCAAGUCUUGGGUGAAAUCCCUCGGCUCAACCGAGGAACUGCCUUGGAAACUGCUUGGCUUGAGGCCGGGAGAGGGUGGUGGAAUUCCCAGUGUAGCGGUGAAAUGCGUAGAUAUUGGGAGGAACACCAGUGGCGAAGGCGGCCACCUGGACCGGUCCUGACGCUGAGGCGCGAAAGCGUGGGGAGCAAACAGG